rnacentral:tRNA from 1 species
ACUUAAAUAAUUUAAAAAAAAUAUUGAUUUGUGGAGUCGAAAAUAUGAUAUUAAUCAUUUUAGGUU